UUUAUGGAGAGUUUGAUCCUGGCUCAGGAUGAACGCUGGCGGCGUGCCUAAUACAUGCAAGUCGAGCGAACGGACGAGAAGCUUGCUUCUCUGAUGUUAGCGGCGGACGGGUGAGUAACACGUGGAUAACCUACCUAUAAGACUGGGAUAACUUCGGGAAACCGGAGCUAAUACCGGAUAAUAUUUUGAACCGCAUGGUUCAAAAGUGAAAGACGGUCUUGCUGUCACUUAUAGAUGGAUCCGCGCUGCAUUAGCUAGUUGGUAAGGUAACGGCUUACCAAGGCAACGAUGCAUAGCCGACCUGAGAGGGUGAUCGGCCACACUGGAACUGAGACACGGUCCAGACUCCUACGGGAGGCAGCAGUAGGGAAUCUUCCGCAAUGGGCGAAAGCCUGACGGAGCAACGCCGCGUGAGUGAUGAAGGUCUUCGGAUCGUAAAACUCUGUUAUUAGGGAAGAACAUAUGUGUAAGUAACUGUGCACAUCUUGACGGUACCUAAUCAGAAAGCCACGGCUAACUACGUGCCAGCAGCCGCGGUAAUACGUAGGUGGCAAGCGUUAUCCGGAAUUAUUGGGCGUAAAGCGCGCGUAGGCGGUUUUUUAAGUCUGAUGUGAAAGCCCACGGCUCAACCGUGGAGGGUCAUUGGAAACUGGAAAACUUGAGUGCAGAAGAGGAAAGUGGAAUUCCAUGUGUAGCGGUGAAAUGCGCAGAGAUAUGGAGGAACACCAGUGGCGAAGGCGACUUUCUGGUCUGUAACUGACGCUGAUGUGCGAAAGCGUGGGGAUCAAACAGGAUUAGAUACCCUGGUAGUCCACGCCGUAAACGAUGAGUGCUAAGUGUUAGGGGGUUUCCGCCCCUUAGUGCUGCAGCUAACGCAUUAAGCACUCCGCCUGGGGAGUACGACCGCAAGGUUGAAACUCAAAGGAAUUGACGGGGACCCGCACAAGCGGUGGAGCAUGUGGUUUAAUUCGAAGCAACGCGAAGAACCUUACCAAAUCUUGACAUCCUUUGACAACUCUAGAGAUAGAGCCUUCCCCUUCGGGGGACAAAGUGACAGGUGGUGCAUGGUUGUCGUCAGCUCGUGUCGUGAGAUGUUGGGUUAAGUCCCGCAACGAGCGCAACCCUUAAGCUUAGUUGCCAUCAUUAAGUUGGGCACUCUAAGUUGACUGCCGGUGACAAACCGGAGGAAGGUGGGGAUGACGUCAAAUCAUCAUG
rnacentral:rRNA from 1 species